CGCGGUUGGGCACCCCUACACUGCAGUCGAGCGGAUGAGAAGAGCUUGCUCUUCGAUUCAGCGGCGGACGGGUGAGUAAUGCCUAGGAAUCUGCCUGGUAGUGGGGGACAACGUUUCGAAAGGAACGCUAAUACCGCAUACGUCCUACGGGAGAAAGCAGGGGACCUUCGGGCCUUGCGCUAUCAGAUGAGCCUAGGUCGGAUUAGCUAGUUGGUGAGGUAAUGGCUCACCAAGGCGACGAUCCGUAACUGGUCUGAGAGGAUGAUCAGUCACACUGGAACUGAGACACGGUCCAGACUCACUACGGGAGGCAGCAGUGGGGAAUAUUGGACAAUGGGCGAAAGCCUGAUCCAGCCAUGCCGCGUGUGUGAAGAAGGUCUUCGGAUUGUAAAGCACUUUAAGUUGGGAGGAAGGGCAUUAACCUAAUACGUUAGUGUUUUGACGUUACCGACAGAAUAAGCACCGGCUAACUCUGUGCCAGCAGCCGCGGUAAUACAGAGGGUGCAAGCGUUAAUCGGAAUUACUGGGCGUAAAGCGCGCGUAGGUGGUUUGUUAAGUUGGAUGUGAAAGCCCCGGGCUCAACCUGGGAACUGCAUCCAAAACUGGCAAGCUAGAGUACGGUAGAGGGUGGUGGAAUUUCCUGUGUAGCGGUGAAAUGCGUAGAUAUAGGAAGGAACACCAGUGGCGAAGGCGACCACCUGGACUGAUACUGACACUGAGGUGCGAAAGCGUGGGGAGCAAACAGGAUUAGAUACCCUGGUAGUCCACGCCGUAAACGAUGUCAACUAGCCGUUGGAAUCCUUGAGAUUUUAGUGGCGCAGCUAACGCAUUAAGUUGACCGCCUGGGGAGUACGGCCGCAAGGUUAAAACUCAAAUGAAUUGACGGGGGCCCGCACAAGCGGUGGAGCAUGUGGUUUAAUUCGAAGCAACGCGAAGAACCUUACCAGGCCUUGACAUGCAGAGAACUUUCCAGAGAUGGAUUGGUGCCUUCGGGAACUCUGACACAGGUGCUGCAUGGCUGUCGUCAGCUCGUGCCGGGAAAGUUGGGUUAAGUCCCGUAACGAGGCGCACCCUUGUCCUUAGUUACCAGCACGUUAUGGUGGGCACUCUAAGGAGACGGCCGGUACAAACCGGAGGAAGGGGGGGAUAACGCCAAGCCAUCAGGCCCUUAAGGCCGGGGGCAACAAAGGUUUAAAAUGGUUGGUUACAAAGGUUGUCCAACCCCCGGGGGGGGAGUUAUUCUCCAAAAACAAUUUGAUUCCGGAACCGAUUUCGCACUUCCCCGCGGGAAGGGGAAUCCCUUUAAUCCGGAAAAAAAAAGGCGGGGGUAAAAAUUCCCCGGCUUUGCAACCCCGCCCCCACACCCGGGGGGUGGGGCCCAAAGAUGUGUUUACCUCCCGGGAAGCGGACCGGGUGUCUCAGGGGGGGUGAAGGCAGGCCGGGGGGAAGGGGUAAAGUAUAAUUUUCUA
rnacentral:rRNA from 1 species